ACGCACGCUGGCGGCGUGCCUAAUACAUGCAAGUAGAACGCACAGUUUAUACCGUAGCUUGCUACACCAUAGACUGUGAGUUGCGAACGGGUGAGUAACGCGUAGGUAACCUGCCUGGUAGCGGGGGAUAACUAUUGGAAACGAUAGCUAAUACCGCAUAAUAUUGAUUAUUGCAUGAUAAUUAAUUGAAAGGUGCAAUUGCACCACUACCAGAUGGACCUGCGUUGUAUUAGCUAGUAGGUGAGGUAACGGCUCACCUAGGCGACGAUACAUAGCCGACCUGAGAGGGUGAUCGGCCACACUGGGACUGAGACACGGCCCAGACUCCUACGGGAGGCAGCAGUAGGGAAUCUUCGGCAAUGGACGAAAGUCUGACCGAGCAACGCCGCGUGAGUGAAGAAGGGUUUCGGAUCGUAAAGCUCUGUUGUAAGAGAAGAACGGGUGUGAGAGUGGAAAGUUCACACUGUGACGGUAUCUUACCAGAAAGGGACGGCUAACUACGUG
rnacentral:rRNA from 1 species